AUUGAACGCUGGCGGAAUGCUUUACACAUGCAAGUCGAACGGUAGAGGGGGCAACCCCUCGAGAGUGGCGAACGGGUGAGUAAUAUAUCGGAACGUGCCCAGUCGUGGGGGAUAACGUAGCGAAAGUUACGCUAAUACCGCAUACGAUCUAAGGAUGAAAGCGGGGGAUCGCAAGACCUCGCGCGAUUGGAGCGGCCGAUAUCAGAUUAGGUAGUUGGUGGGGUAAAGGCUCACCAAGCCAACGAUCUGUAGCUGGUCUGAGAGGACGACCAGCCACACUGGAACUGAGACACGUUCCAGACUCCUACGGGAGCCAGCAGUGGUGAAUUUUGGACAAUGGACGCAAGUCUGAUCCAGCCAUUCCGCGUGCAGGAUGAAGGCCCUCGGGUUGUAAACUGCUUUUGUACGGAACGAAAAGGUCUCUCUUAAUACGGGGGACUCAUGACGGUACCGUAAGAAUAAGCACCGGCUAACUACGUGCCAGCCGCCGCCGUAA
rnacentral:rRNA from 1 species